GUUCACGUCUACUAGGAACCAUGCAUACCCCUAAUCAAUGGUUUAUGAAAUAUAUAUUUAUUAUUUGUUGAUGAGAGCCAUGUGUAAGCAAACAACCUAAUGUGUUAUUGAAUUGUAUCCUUAUUGUGAUGCUGCGUAAAAGAGGGUCUCCAUGAUAUUAAUUAAUGCUGCCUGCAAGAAAUAAUUUCUGAAUCCAUGGAUUAUUCCUAUAUAUCCAGUUUGGAAUGGACUGACUCAGGCCAUAUGGUUAAAAACUUCCAUAUUAUCUGAUUCCAACUGUAUAAACUGCCUUGCUACUGUAUUCAUGCUUUGAAUUUUUUCAUUUGCAUGUCCACUAAGAUGGUGAUUAUUUUUUUUGGCAGCCACCUAAGAAAGCUCAAGGAGUGCAAUAUUCUGCACUUGCCAUUUUUAAGGAUCCUCAAGAGGCACAUCAGGCUUUUGAAAACUUGAAUGGGAGGUUAGAAAAGGACAAAAAUGGACUGGAGCAGAAAACGAUAACAUUUAAACUUAACGCUGGAACAACAGCUAGUAUACAUGUUCGUAAAAUGGCACAUGAUCAUUCUCUUCAUCAAGGUUUGCUUAAAAAAAGAGCUUUUCAAGGCGAAAAUUUAGUUGAUCCCAAGAAACUAAAGACCGAUGAUUGUGACAAUCAUUUGAAAGAGAUGGAAAGAUUAAAGCAAGAACUGAAAGAAAAGGAUUUAGAUCAGUGCAAUAACCACUUGAAAGAGAUUGAAAGACUAAAGAAAGAUCUGAGUGCAAAAGAUUUUCAAAUCUCUGCUCAGGAUAAGAUCAUAAGUAAGCUGAAGAAAGACCUGGAAGAAAUGAAACACAAGAAAAAGAGAUAGUAAAAACUUUGCUGUGAUUUUUCAUACCUGGACUGAGAUCUUCCCUGCUGACAAAGAUGUUACUGGUUCACAUAAACGUUUAUGAAGAACGUGAGACUCCAAUCUUUUGGUCAUCCGGCCAUGAUUGCCGAGGUAAAAGGACUCUCCAAUUUUGUUUGCUUAGUUGUAUGAUAGAUUCUCAAGAAUUUGUAUUCUGUUAUGCAAUGUUUGUGUAGUAAUAUAUUUGGAUGAGAUUUAUGUAGCAAUUUGAGAUUAAUUAAUGGCAGCAAAAGCAUUCAGUUUUGAGCUGUUGA